GACGAACGCUGGCGGCGUGCCUAAUACAUGCAAGUUGAGCGCUGAAGGUUGGUACUUGUACCGACUGGAUGAGCAGCGAACGGGUGAGUAACGCGUGGGGAAUCUGCCUUUGAGCGGGGGACAACAUUUGGAAACGAAUGCUAAUACCGCAUAAAAACUUUAAACACAAGUUUUAAGUUUGAAAGAUGCAAUUGCAUCACUCAAAGAUGAUCCCGCGUUGUAUUAGCUAGUUGGUAGGUAAAGGCUCACCAAGGCGAUGAUACAUAGCCGACCUGAGAGGGUGAUCGGCCACAUUGGGACUGAGACACGGCCCAAACUCCUACGGGAGGCAGCAGUAGGGAAUCUUCGGCAAUGGACGAAAGUCUGACCGAGCAACGCCGCGUGAGUGAAGAAGGUUUUCGGAUCGUAAAACUCUGUUGGUAGAGAAGAACGUUGGUGAGAGUGGAAAGCUCAUCAAGUGACGGUAACUACCCAGAAAGGGACGGCUAACUACGUG
rnacentral:rRNA from 1 species